rnacentral:tRNA from 1 species
GGGGGCACAGCUCAGGGGUAGAGCACGUGCUUAGCAUGCAUGAGGUCAUGGGUUCAAUCCCCAGUACCUCCA